rnacentral:rRNA from 1 species
GAUGAACGCUGACGGCGUGCCUAAUACAUGCAAGUCGAGCGAACGGACGAGAAGCUUGCUUCUCUGAUGUUAGCGGCGGACGGGUGAGUAACACGUGGAUAACCUCCCUAUAAGACUGGGAUAACUUCGGGAAACCGGAGCUAAUACCGGAUAAUAUUUUGCACCGCAUGGUUCAAAAGUGAAAGACGGUCUUGCUGUCACUUCUAGCUGGAUCCGCGCUGCAUUAGCUAGUUGGUAAGGUAACGGCUUACCAAGGCAACGAUGCAUAGCCGACCUGAGAGGGGGAUCGGCCACACUGGAACUGGGACACGGUCCAGACUCCUACGGGAGGCAGCAGUAGGGAAUCUUCCGCAAUGGGCGAAAGCCUGACGGAGCAACGCCGCGUGAGUGAUGAAGGUCUUCGGAUCGUAAAACUCUGUUAUUAGGGAAGAACAUAUGUGUAAGUAACUGUGCACAUCUUGACGGUACCUAAUCAGAAAGCCACGGCUAACUACGUG